GUGAGGAAUUUUCCGCAAUGGGCGAAAGCCUGACGGAGCAAUGCCGCGUGAAGGAUGAAGGCCUAUGGGUUGUAAACUUCUUUUCUCAGAAAAGAAUUAUGACGGUAUCUGAGGAAUAAGCAUCGGCUAACUCUGUGCCAGCAGCCGCGGUAAGACAGAGGAUGCAAGCGUUAUCCGGAAUGAUUGGGCGUAAAGCGUCUGUAGGUUGUUUAAAAAGUAUUCUGUCAAAGAUUAGGGCUUAACCCUAGAUAGGCAGAAUAAACUUUUAAGCUAGAGUUUGGUAGAGGCAGAGGGACUUCCCGGUGGAGCGGUGAAAUGCGUAGAUAUCGGGAGGAACACCAAAGGCGAAGGCACUCUGCUGGGCCAAUACUAACACUGAGAGACGAAAGCGAGGGGAGCAAAUGGGAUUAGAAACCCCAGUAGUCC
rnacentral:rRNA from 1 species